UCCUGUCAGACUGGCCUGGGUGGGUCAAACAGGCUGAGAUGAAAGCUGAGAAAUGGCGAUCCAGAGACACCUGAAAGAUGAAACCCAUUCCUGAAACUCCUCAGUGGCCCUGCUAAGUCUUCACCAUCUUUGCCUUUGCUACCACUGGAGGUUACAGUGGGACAACCCACUUUACAGUCACCUGCUCAGGAAGCCAGGUGGUGCAGGAUGUUAAGCCUGUGUUCGCCUACCCAUUCAGGUUGUCAGCGUACCCAUAUAAUGUGCCCACAUGUAACGGCAGUGGAUUCAAUGUGACCUACCUGCAGGGCGACUUCUCCUCCUCGGCAGAGUUCUUUGUGUGUGUCGGUGUGUUUGGGUUCCUUUAUUGCACUGCCACACUCAUCCUCUACCUGGGCUACCAGAACAUCUACCGCCAGACCACCCGCGGUCCCGUCAUAGUGAGUACACAU